AGAGAAAAAUUUGCUGCUUGAAUUCAAGAGAGUGGCUGGUUUAGCUAGCUGAGAAAAGAUGAGGGUAGGCAACUUUUGCCAAGAAACGGUGGAAUUGGAUGCCGCAAAGCUAGAAGUAGAAAAUUGGACACAAACCAAUGAUAGGAAGGGAAAAAAUGGACAAGAAUACGAAAAAGCUUUGAGAAUCACAUGACACUGGAUU
rnacentral:lncRNA from 1 species